rnacentral:rRNA from 1 species
GACGAACGCUGGCGGCGUGCUUAACACAUGCAAGUCGAACGGAAAGGCCCUGCUUUUGUGGGGUGCUCGAGUGGCGAACGGGUGAGUAACACGUGAGUAACCUGCCCUUGACUUUGGGAUAACUUCAGGAAACUGGGGCUAAUACCGGAUAGGAGCUCCUGCUGCAUGGUGGGGGUUGGAAAGUUUCGGCGGUUGGGGAUGGACUCGCGGCUUAUCAGCUUGUUGGUGGGGUAGUGGCUUACCAAGGCUUUGACGGGUAGCCGGCCUGAGAGGGUGACCGGCCACAUUGGGACUAAGAUACGGACCAGACUGCUACGGGCGGCAGCAGUGGGGAAUAUUGCACAAUGGGCGGAAGCCUGAUGCAGCAACGCCGCGUGCGGGAUGCCGGCCUUCGGGUUGUGAACCGAUUUCGCCUUUGACGAAGCGUGAGUGACGGUAAUGGGUAAAGAAGCACCGGCUAACUACGUG